CCCCGCACAAGCAGCGGAGCGUUGUUGGUUUAAUUCGAUGCUACACGAAGAACCUUACCAGGGUUUUGACAUACAAGUAGUAGGAAAGGAAACUGGACCGACCCUUCGGGGAGCUUGUACAGGUGCUGCAUGGCUGUCGUCAGCUCGUGUCGUGAGAUGUUGGGUUAAGUCCCGCAACGAGCGCAACCCUCGGCCUUAGUUGCCAUCAUUUAGUUGGGCACUCUAAGGCGACUGCCGUGAUAAGCCGGAGGAAGGUGGGGAUGACGUCAAGUCCUCAUGGCCCUUACGGGCUGGGCUACACACGUGCUACAAUGGCGGUGACAGAGGGACGCAAAAGGGCAACCUUUCGCAAAUCUCGAAAAACCGUCUCAGUUCGGAUUGGGGUCUGCAACUCGACCCCAUGAAGUUGGAAUCGCUAGUAAUCGCGGAUCAGCACGCCGCGGUGAAUACGUUCCCGGGCCUU
rnacentral:rRNA from 1 species